rnacentral:lncRNA from 1 species
CCACAAUGUAUCAAUUCUUUUUAAACUCCUAGCUUUUACAAAGCAUAUUUAAGAAGAAAUGCAUAAAAGACAGCUUGUUUAAAAACAUUUCCUAAACCAGUUGGAACGUUUAUAUAAAAAUUAGAGGUUUUUUUUUAUACUUAGCCCCUAACUUAGGCUAUUUGAUAUGCCCUCACACACGUAUCUUCAUGGUUAUGCAAUACACUUAAUUCGAAGAGAAACCCUGAAAGGAAUCACAAACCCAAGAGACAAUAGGAAAUAAAUGGGAGGGGGAGAUAGCACUUCCAUACAAUGGAAUUUUUAAAAGUCAUUAAAUAUCACUCUUUGAAGCUUGUUUAAUGAUAUAGGGAAAUGCUGCUGACAAUAUUAAGUGAAAAGAAAAAUGUGUAAGAACAGUAUGAUUUUAAAAUUUUACAAAGAAGUAUGUAUUUCAAAUCAGUAAUGGUUUUAAAAGGCUGAAAGAAAAUGUUUCUCCAAGUGACAGAAUUUAUCAUUUAUUCAUUAAAAAAUUUUAAAAAAAGGGGGGGGGGUGCGCCUGGGUGGCUCAGUCAGCUGAGCGUCCGACUUCGGCUCAGGUCAUGAUCUCACAGCUUGUGAGUUCGAGCCCCGCAUCGGGCUCUGUGCUGACAGCUCAGAGCCUGGAGCCUGUUUCCGAUUCUGUGUCUCCCUCUCUCUCUGCCCCUAACCCACUCACAUUCUGUCUCUGUCUCUCUCAAAAAUAAAUAAACAUAAAAAAUAAAUAAAUAAUUUAUCAUUUAUUUUUUAUUUUAUUUAUUACAGUAAUCAUGUAUUUAUGUUGAGAAAAAUGUUAAUUUUGGAUGGAUCAGAAAUGCAAAAUGAUUCAACUAUCAGAAUAACGUUGCAAGAAGAGAGGACACUCAGGCUGAUUAGCAGAGUUUUUUUCUUUGUUCCUUUUUUCCCCUCUCAAAUCACAAUGACCUAAGAUCAGAGCCCUCUGAUCAUUUAUGCUGCUACCUUAGGAUCCAGUUUCAUUCUACAACUGGCCGAAGCAUGAAAUGAACUAAAAGAAACCGAAUUGAAUGGAACUGAACCGAACUGGAAUAAUGCGAUUUCCAGUACACUCGACGCCUUAAGGACCGAGAAGCUACCUCACCCACCGUCCUCCCAGAGGUCCCAGCGCCAGUGACCAACCCAGUCAAGACCAGCAAUCUGUUCCUCUCUUGUGUAACCUACCCUGGUUUUACCAGGGCUGAAAACACCCUGAAUUGCAUUAGAGAGAACUGUAAGCUAAUUGCCAAAGCACAUAACGUCAUCCAAAUAUAUCUUUAUUUCAGUCAGACCCGAGGAAACAAAAUUUAGACAACAAGCCAGAAAGGAAAUGCAAGGACUUGAAUACUGAACACCAAUUUCCCCUCGAUUCACCUGCUUUCUCCUUCCUCAUCCCGUUUGUCAUGUCUUCUAUUCCCAUCCCCAUAAUUUUUCUAGUAUUUGUUGGAUGUUUACUACAUGCCCGGCAGCGUGCUAAGCACUUUCCGUGCACGGUCACAUUUGGCCAGCAAGAGGAGUAAAGAGACUCGCUUAAGGCCACCCCACCGUCAAUUUUGAGCCACGUUCUGCUCAAGCCUAAUCUCCAAAUCUCUGAACCCACAUCAUUAUUUACUGCACUGGUGAAAUAAUGAAGUGGAGGCAAUACUGUUGGUAUACACACUAGCUGCAGAUUUACAAGUAACUAAGUAGGAACUCUCCAGAAACCCAGCACAGCAGUUAGCACUAUUUCUGUCUCCUCCUUCAUCCUGGUAGUCUUGUAUAUAUCAUGCCAUUCCUAGGAGGCAUGAUAUAUACAAAUAGUCUUGUAGUCUAAUACAUGUAUUUAUUAAGUUUUUUUGUUUCCUAGCCAUAUGAACAACUCGCGUAUAAAGUUACCUUUGGGUUU